rnacentral:rRNA from 1 species
CCUACGGAGGCAGCAGUGGGGAAUAUUGGACAAUGGGGGGAACCCUGAUCCAGCCAUGCCGCGUGUGUGAAGAAGGCCCUCGGGUUGUAAAGCACUUUCAGUGAGGAAGAACGCCUGGUGGUUAAUACCCAUCAGGAAAGACAUCACUCACAGAAGAAGCACCGGCUAACUCCGUGCCAGCAGCCGCGGUCAUACGGAGGGUGCGAGCGUUAAUCGGAAUUACUGGGCGUAAAGCGCGCGUAGGUGGCUUGAUAAGCCGGUUGUGAAAGCCCCGGGCUCAACCUGGGAACGGCAUCCGGAACUGUCAAGCUAGAGUGCAGGAGAGGAAGGUAGAAUUCCCGGUGUAGCGGUGAAAUGCGUAGAGAUCGGGAGGAAUACCAGUGGCGAAGGCGGCCUUCUGGACUGACACUGACGCUGAGGUGCGAAAGCGUGGGUAGCAAACAGGAUUAGAUACCCCGGUAGUC